UGACGAUUAAAACUGCUCGAACGGGUUAUACUUAAUUUCAUUUCGCAUAUUAAAGGACGCUUGCUGCUUUCAGUUGUAAGUUUUGUUUUAGCAAAAUGGAUCUUCGCAGACCGUGUUCAAAAAAAAGGAAACUAAAAGAUGGAAACUAUCGAAAAUAGCUGCGAAGUUUAUAAGACGUAGUGAGGACGGGUUGUUGUAUUUGUGCGAUAUUGAUGAUGCAAGGAAAUGCAAAUACAUGCAGAUUAAACUGGACAUCAAUAAUUUUAUAAGACAUUUCCGUACAUGGCAUACAAAAUGUCGACGGCUGCGGGCUUGAUUCAGGGACAAAAACCGCUUAAGAAAAGGUUGUCACAAAACGUCCAGCAGCGAUUGACCAGCAGUGACUAACGGAAUGCAUGAUCAAACUUGUUGCAUACCAUAACCUGUCUCUUUGAAGGCAGCAACUUCUCGAACCCUUAAAAGCAGUGCUAGCAUUGCCAAUGGACACAAUAUUUAUAAAAGGAUGUUUGGCUGAUGGAGCGAAACUUGGGAAAGCGGAAAUUGUUGCGGAGGUGAAAGGUAGACCUAUCUCAUUGAAAAUGGAUUCAACAAGCCGCCGUAAUAGGCACGUAUUAGGAAUACUGGCACAAUGAACGGAGAAAUAGUGGGAAUAGUCGAGGUUAAGGAGCGACAAACAGCAGGUUUCCUGAAGGCAAAAAUUAUGGAGGUCUGGAUACCUCGGGACCUUUCUGGAGAAUGGAAGCAGUGUCAUGCAUCCAUCAAUGUUUCAAUGGCGGAGCUAUUAUUUAUGGACGCAGUCAACAAGGCAUACGAUGCUGGGUUUUAAAUCAGCCGUAUUAGACUGCAGUAGAGAAACGUUGGUAAAUCAUAUUUUUCAUUGUGAAUAUAUAGGAAAAAUAUAUGAAAU